AAUGACCACUGAAAAUUCAUUAUUUAAAAUAUCUAAAUAACUACAUCAUUAUCAUGCUAUCCAGCACAAGUGGUAAAGGAUUUGAUAGUUGGUACCCGAGGUCCCGAAUUCGAAUCCUAAUUGAUUCAUAUUUUCAGCUUUAGAAAUAAACGAAGCGGGAUAUUGGUGAGGAAUAAAAAGAGAAAAACUGAAACAACAAAAAUUAAAUAAUGUAUUAUUAUAU
rnacentral:lncRNA from 1 species